GGCAGGGCGCUGGUUCUUUCCUGCUCUGUCCCCAGCGCGAGAGCCGCCGCGGGCAGAACCGACACACAGAAUGACAUCAGGAUGGAACACGCGGGGCCUGGCUCGAAAUGAAAGUGCGGAGCUUCCUGUCCGGACUCCGCUGCUUGAGGACGGGAAGGCGGAGCCUCGAAGGGAGCCGAGGCCUUGGAGCGCAGGAGGCACACCACCACCCUCCUGACGUCACUUCUCUGUCUCUGCGACCAGUGAGGCGUUUGCCCUGCCACGCGCCCAAUCACAGCCCACCAACGGUUCUUCCUGUUUCUCGUCGGACUUUCCUCGGUUUGCUUGGGUUUCUAGUAACAGUCACAUGUCAUCAAUAAAGUCCUAUUUCAUUUAAAAAAUUUUUAAAUUAAAAAAUUAAAAUUGAUCUUAGAGGGAGAGAGAGAGAGAGAGAGAGAGAGAGAGGGAAA